GGACUUUAUGAAGAUCCAUCGCACGACCAGUUUCGUAAAGUAAUAUGCCGAGCAGGAGUUUAAUGUGAUAAUAAGGCGAUGUACGACACGUUAUUUAGAACCGUUCAUGUCCAUUAUUGCUGUAAGAAAAGAAGGCCAGGAUGUGUUUAUUUCCUGCUUAAAAAUGUCAUUGGAACUCUGGAUUUUCGUGUCAAGUACUUGUUACAGGGGGAGACUUAUCCCGAGGUGCAUGCAUCAUACGCAGUUGGAUAAUUUUCUAAUUUAAGUUAGCAAUUUGAUGUUGAGAAUCACCUAAGAUUUGAAUCCAUUGAUUGCUCAGGAACUUUGGAAGCCUGUGAAUAUGUUUAGCACCUUCAAAAGAAGAGGAUGACAGAAAUAUGGCAUUAUCUCGUACGCUACUGUUACCGAAAUUGCAGGUCAACAAGUUGUUGGAAGCAGCAUGCUGAAGUUUGCAAUUAAAACUGCAAAAGAAGACGGAGGUGUAAAGCAGGUGUUAGCGGCUUUGUUGGCUCAAGGUUCAA